rnacentral:tRNA from 1 species
GACCAGAUAGCUAAAUGGAUAAGCAGCGGAAACUCUCCGUGAAUGCGGGUUCGAUUCCCGCUCUAGUCA